CGCCGGGAGAGCACGGGCGCCCUCUCGCGGCGCCGACGCGACGCGGUCAGCACCGGGGAUAGAGGCCUUCGCUCUCCUAGGAGAAAGGCCCGUUAGAGGAAGGGGAGAAACUGAGCGAGGCCACCGCCUCCACAGAGGCCCCCGGGGCACGCGGGCCAGGAGAGCCUAAGGCUUCAGGCAGGCCACCGCCUCACCCACGGGGAAACUGCGCGGCUAAGCAAAGCCCGACGCUCGCGGAGGGGGCGAUGUGUGGGAGAUCUGAGUUGUUGCUGUAGCAACCGUGUGAAGAAUCAAUGGAGAAAUAAAAUGCUUCCAUGACAAAGAACAACUGAAGAAGUUCAUGACCACCAAAGCAGCUCUAUGAGAUAUUCUGAAAGAUAUUUUAGAAAGAGAUAACAAAGACCACAAUUCCAAGAACACCAAUAGAAAGAAGCUACCAGGCAAGGAUACAAGGCUAUUGGCUGGUGCCACCCACGUCCAAGGUGGGCCUUCCCUCUUCAGUAAGUCAGUCAUCCAGACACACCCAGAGCUGUGCUAAACCAACCUGCUAGGUGUUUCUUAUUCAAGUUGAUGCCACAAUUAACUAUCACAAAUGCUGGCAGUCAGACUGCGAAGACAGACUGCAGACCUGAGGAGGAAACUGUUGAUCUAAAACCACAAUUAGUUGCUGGUAAGACAGAGGCUGCAUCCACACCUUUGGAAUGCAGAUUUCAAAAAAUGCAUAGAAGAAAAUGAGGCCUAGGAAAAAAACUACUUGAAAUUUGGGAUCCAACUGCUUUCCCUCCAAAUUGAAUUAAAUAGUCAUCUCUUUGUAUACCAAACACCCUGAACUUAACUUCUUUCUUUGUGUAUGGCAUUGAAAUGUUUAGGCUUUUUUAGAUCUUAAAAU
rnacentral:lncRNA from 1 species